rnacentral:rRNA from 1 species
UACGAAGGGGGCUAGCGUUGCUCGGAAUUACUGGGCGUAAAGGGCUCGUAGGCGGCCAACUAAGUCAGACGUGAAAUCCCUCGGCUUAACCGGGGAACUGCGUCUGAUACUGGAUGGCUAGAGGUUGGGAGAGGGAUGCGGAAUUCCAGGUGUAGCGGUGAAAUGCGUAGAUAUCUGGAGGAACACCGGUGGCGAAGGCGGCAUCCUGGACCGACACUGACACUGAGGAGCGAAAGCCAGGGGAGCAAACGGG